UACGUAGGAGACGAGCGUUGUCCGGAGUUACUGGGCGUAAAGGGUGCGCAGGUGGUUGUGCGCGUGGGGGGUGAAAUCGCCCGGCUUAACUGGGCGGGGGCCUUCCAGACGGCAUGACUUGAGCAGCGGAGGGGGACGUGGAAUUCCGGGUGGAGCGGUGAAAUGCGUAGAUAUCAGGAGGAACACCGGUGGUGUAGACGGCUUUCUGGACCGUAACUGACGAC
rnacentral:rRNA from 1 species